AAGAACGCUGGCGGCAGGCCUAAGACAUGCAAGUCGUACGCGAACGACCUUUCGGGGUUAAGUAGAGUGGCGAACGGGUUAGUAACGCGUGGGAACAUACACAGCACAGGGGGAUAACCAUUGGAAACGAUGGCUAAUACCGCAUACGCCCUAUUGGGGAAAGAUUUAUCGGUGUUGGAUUGGCCCGCGUUAGAUUAGCUAGUUGGUGGGGUAAUGGCUCACCAAGGCGACGAUUUAUAGCUGGUUUGAGAGGAUGAUCAGCAACACUGGAACUGAGACACGGUCCAGACUCCUACGGGAGGCAGCAGUCGGGAAUAUUGUGCAAUGGGGGCAACCCUGACACAGCCAUGCCGCGUGAGUGAAGAAGGCCUUAGGGUUGUAAAGCUCUUUCAGAUGUGAGGAUGAUGACGAUAGCAUCAGAAGAAGCUCCGGCUAACUUCGUGCCAGCAGCCGCGGUAAUACGAAGGGAGCUAGCGUUGUUCGGAAUUACUGGGCGUAAAGGGCGUGUAGGCGGAUUAUCAAGUUAGGGGUGAAAUCCCGGGG
rnacentral:rRNA from 1 species